AUAUGUUCAGUUUUAUAUGAUGUUAAUUGUAUAUUUUCAUGUUUAGGUCAGUAUAAGUAUUUUUAAAUUUUUCAUCCAUAUAAAUAAGAAAUGUGCUUUGUUCCUUUUACUAAAAUUUGCUUAUUUGUGAUAUUAAUUGACAAUCUAAAAAAGUAUCUCAACAGGAAAAUAAAUUGUUGCAGAUCAAAGAUUUUAAAGUUAUGAUAUAUGUACCGGUAUACAAAUAAAGCAAUCAAGAUUUUGUUUCUGUCCAUAUGACAAUUGAUACACAAGGAACCAUAUGCUGUCAAACAGUUACACAUUGUGGUGAAGUCAUUACCUAGGAAAUAAGCCAA
rnacentral:lncRNA from 1 species